AUGGCACUUGUUAACUUCAAUGGAUCAUAUCUCUGCUGUAUUUUGUUUGCUGCAAUGAUUUUGCUGUCAGGAGUAUCAAGUGGUGAGAAUAAUAUGUUCGGAUUAAAAUGCCACGAAGGUAAUUGCCCAUCAAAUGAGCAAUGCAAUCAAGACUGUCUUAAAGGAGGCUAUAAGAAAGGUGGUAAAUGUUAUGGAAUGAUUCCUCCUAAUCGUCUUUGUUGUUGUAAUGAAAAAUGA